CCCCCUGUGGCUCAGUUGGUAGAGCAUGGUGUUUGCAAUGCCAGCAUGGUGUGUGCAACGCCAGGGUUGUGGGUUUGAUUCCCAUGGGGGGC
rnacentral:tRNA from 1 species